rnacentral:tRNA from 1 species
GGAUGUAACUCAGUGGUAGAGCAGGUGCUUAGCAUGCACAGGGCCCUGGGUUCAAUCAUCAGCACCA